rnacentral:lncRNA from 1 species
CCAAGAGAAGAGAGAGAUGGAUGAAGCAUGCAUCUCUUGUCUUACUGGCCAUGGUGCCCCUUGACCAUCAAUACUGUCUGUAGGGCAGACAUUCAAAUAAAGCUCUCCCAUAAGAACCAAGUGGGGGUGCUUCAAGUGUCCAACAAGGGUUCUUCAAUUGCAGUUUCCUCAGGUGAGAGAUCUACUCCAGCUCAACCUCUUCCAAGUGUGUUUAGAUCUCCUUGUGGUUCUUGCUGUUUGGAUCCCCUCAUCCAGAAAGCAUUCCCCUUGGGUCGAAUACAGGCAUAAAGGCCUGUGGUCAGGCUUUCUUCUGAAGUGUGCCAUUAACUCGUGGGACAAUCAUGCGUACUUAGUUGGGGUAAUGCCAGCUGCUAUAACAGAUACAUCUGAAAUUUUCAUUGGUUUAACCCCGAAGACGUUUAUUCCUUUUUAAAAUAAAGUCCGAAGAGACUGCCCUUGGACUGAUGAUGAUGUCUACUGAUAUCUUAGCUCCUUCUAUCUUAGAGCUCUGUCCUCCUCUACAGCCCUUCCGUUCUCAGCAUUCAGCUUGGGAGGAGAAAGGGCACAGAAGAUCGCACGGGAGGCUUUUAUAGGCUAGGCCUGCAAGUAGCAUAUAAUGCUUUGCUCACAACCCACUGAAAGAUCCCAGUCACAUGUUCACAUCUAGCUUCAAAGCAGGCUGGAAAGUAUAAUGUAGCCAAGGGCCUAGGAGGAAAAAGGAAAAGUGUUCUCGUGAUACCACAGUCUCUGCUAUAGGGUUGCUCCACUCUUCCUUUACUUCUUUUACCACCUUCCAUGGCAGUACUGGGGAUCAUUUAAGAGAAUCCCUGGAACACUCUAAGCCUCUCUUAAAGAGCACCAACCUAUUUCCCCCUAGAAUAUUAGGCAUUAUCCCACAACACAGUGACAUCUUUUUCCCCUGUUGGCCCGGUGGUAUAUAGAGCCCAAUAACCAGGUGGCAGUCUCAACAUUCAGUUAAAUGGACCUAUCAUUAUGUCCCUUAGUAGAGGCAACUUGUUUUUGCAUCCUGAGAUCUUUGAACCAGCAAAGUUCAAAUCUGUGAGGCUGUAAAAUAUUAUAAAUACUAUAAAAUAAUAUGUGAGAUUUAGACAUAACAAUGAGAGCUAUCAUCCUACUCCAGGAAUUCUGUUUAUGGAGAAACCACCAUAUAUUAUUCACUAGAUCAGAGCACCUGUAGGACGUAACCCAGUCUCACAAUGAUGUCUCCCAAUUGCGUCUGUAAUGGAGUUUUCAAUUGGCCAAUCCGCCCUUCUUUAAGGCCAGCUGCUUCAGGAUAAUGAGGUACAUGGUACCAUCAGAGAAUCCCAUGGGCAUUCACCCAGCACUUGGCUUUUUGUUGUUGUUGUUGUUGUUGCUGUAGAAGUUUCUUACUCAGAGCAGUAUUGGGUGGAUUACUAUGAUGACAGCAAAUAAUGCAAUGUAAGUCCACGGAUGGUGAUGGUGGUAGCGGCGGAAUCAUGGCAUGCAGGGAAAGCAGAGCCACAGCCAGGAUAAGUGACUGGAGGGAAGACAGCUGAUAGAAUUGAACUGCAACCAAGAUGCUUCCUGGUCCUCCUUACGGAAUGGAAAGAGGGUUUUUUGGAUUUUGUUGACAAUAUAUACCUCCAGGUAUCCCAGAAAAAUAUUCCUUUCCUUAAUAUAUUGAGAAAAUAUUAUACCAGCAUUGUUGCAGAGCGCCAAGGAGUUGUUCUCUGUAGGCUGGUGAUGCAUAUGGUGAUGCUAAUCUUGCCAUAGUGAUUAUAUGCUGCCAGGAUGGCAGAGGCAAUGCGCAAUAUAUGACUUCAGGAGACAAGGUGGGAAUGGCAUCAUAACAGACACUGGACGGGAGUGAUGAUCAAAGAGGGGUGACCUGCAGAAAUCUUUGGUGGUGGCUAAAGGAUCAUAGAGAUCUUAGGACUGAAAUAGUUUACUAAGAUCUUCCUUGAUCUGUAGAGCUGAAAAACUCCAGAUUUAGCAAGCAGAGUCACUCCAUAUAGCGACCAAGCCACGAACAAAAUUCUAAGACUUAAGGCAAUUCCUAAACCUAGUAACUGUGAAAGAAGAGGUUUGAAAUCUUUGAGAUCAGGCCUUCUAUUGACCCCAGCAUUCCCCGAGGGUUCUUGUAGCCAUUUACCAGAGUUACUUUGUACAAAGAAAGAGAGAGAUCCCAAAUUCUUUACACUUUUAGUGGUGGCCUAUCUCUGAAAUCCCUCUGGCCACAGUAUUUCUUUUGGUUUACUUUGUUAGAGAGAGGGGUCUACACUGACUUCCACUUGACUCCUUCUCUUACAGUGCUCCCCUUCCAGGAAUCAGGGAGCUAAUGUAGAGGUUCAGUUCUUGAGUUUCUCUCUUCCAACUAUAUACUCAGUAACUGAAUUGUGGUGGGCAUGUGGACACUGGCUCUACACUGAAGUUAACACUGGGGUCUACCACUGGAUACAGGUCUAGAGGCAAUGACGCUUGGUAAGGUGGGACAUGAGGAGAAUUGUCAUCCCCUUGCAGGCUAACUAUCCCAAUUUGGGGUUACUAGGCUGUCUUCAGGCAAGAGUGUUUCAGUCUCAACCAGACAGAGGAGGUGCUGCUUCUUCCAGCCAGGGAGGCACAGGGGGCAAAUGAGGUUUGGGAAUAUUCAGGUCAUCCAAAUCCUCAGUGUCUCAGAAGAUUUUAGUGAAAAUAGCUCUUUCAGUUUCUUCACAGCUCCCUCCUUCCUAGGACUCAGACCUGAGUCCCUUAGGGGACAAAUCCAAAUGGCAGCAUCAUGCCGUGCUCAGGAUCGUUCUUCUCGUGUGAUGGCUGAGGCUUCAUUACAGGUUUCAGCUUGUCUGCUUGACACUUGCCUCCCUGAAGACACUCUCCCUCCUGGGAGGCAUCACGGUGUCUCAUGCCCACAGACUCUGGGCAGGCUGACCCCAAGGGCCUGCCAGGCACACGUAGACCAGUUAGAAUCCCAGAGGUAACCACGGCUCACGCUCAAACCUGGGGCUCUGCUGCAUGACUUUAAAACAAACCAGCAUCUUACCCAUCCUCUGUUCAACAUAAUCAAAGGCACCUCACGAAAAUGUGCAAAGGAAAUGUUUGCUCAGAUGGCACUUACAGGGCUGGCACCAAGCCUAUAAAUACCACUUUUAAAGGAAAAGUUCACGAUGUGAAUUUGAUACAGUUUUAAAGUUCAUUUCUUUUUAUGACAGUUUCAGACUGAUUUUGUGCAGACUUGUUUUAUGGUCAAAUCAAACUCUUAAGUACUGGGUUACCUGCCAGAGAAGUUAAACGUGUUGCAGUGACUUAAUUUUAAUGACGUAUUUAUACAUUUUUUAAUUGUAGUUAUCACGGAGAGCCUGCUUAUUUUUCCUAACUGAAUUAAGCCAGAUUUGUGUCUAGGAAGGAAGAGGACUCUUCCUGACCCAGUAAAAACUCAGCUACCAAGAUAAUAUGGGCAAUAAGGAUGUGGAUUCAACUCCCAUCAAGGAUGUGGAUUCAACUCCCAUCAGGUGCUAAACUCGUAAAUGGCUCAAAGGCCAGCCUCGCCAGGGAGAGAAGAUAAAAGGGGAUCAGAGUGAGGGCCUGGCAGGAUAUUACUGGCAGAUUCUGUGGUUGCCUGAGUCCCCACCCUCCUUUGUAAGACAGGCUGCCAUCUUCCAAUCCUAAACCUAAUCAAGAGAGACUUUGGCAUUAAAAGAAACAUCCACCAGGCCCCCAGAUUGUUGUGAGAGGUGCCCCUGAAGCUGUGAAACAUAAGGAAGGCUAAGGCUAGUUCCUGACUCAUGCUGUGGGAGGGAAAGCAGGCUGUCAACUGAGGUCUCAGAAGGGGCUGCCUCACGCUUUAGGCAACAGAGCUGGGGCAUUCCAAGGAGUUUAUCAAGGUAUGGAUGUGAGUGCUUCCUGGGGAUACAUGUGAGCCUAAGGGGAAAGAACUGGUAAGGUGACAGUCAUUGGGCUCCAUACAAUAGAGCCACCUGGAGGAUCAAGGUGACCUCAGCAAGAAGAGUGUAAAAGUGUUCAGGGCUGUGAAUGGUCCUUUUAGGCCAUCCUGAAUAGAUCACAUAUGCCUGGAGCAAGGGACCUCUGAGGAGCCCAACAAAGUCCCCCAAAAGAGGAAAGUCCAUUAUAAUCCUAUACCUGAGCCACCCAGAAACAUCAGCUUGAACAAUUUGACAGGCCGAGAAAGCAUAAAGUACCAUCCCAUUACCUUACCCUUCCUCCCUACUAACAACUUUGACACUGACAGGAGGCAGACAGUGAAGCUAAUGAAUUGGGGGCUCGGGGCUGGGAGACCGGGAGCAGAAGAGCCAUGUCCCUAUCUCCACCACACACUUCCAGCAGGAAGCAAGCCUGCGCUGAGAAAGGAAGAUUUACACUAAGACUGAAUUGAGACAACAGCCCAUCUAUGAAGUAAGAACGGCCAAAUACGUCAUAAGCCCCAACAACAAGUCAAUGUUACUUUCACUGCAUAAAAUGUAAACAAACAGCGGGAGGUGAGUUGAGCCAUCACAAAAUUUGCCCUUAUUCUUCCUGUCUUUCUCUCCCUCUCUCUUCUUCUCUCUACCUUAUGGGCCUUUAUCCAGGAUGCAAUGUUAACAAGUACCAUUGUUACCUCCAUAAUUUCUUCAACCUAUAUGCCCCAGCAACACACGGUUAAAAAGGCUGAUGGAGCACAGAGGACACUAUGGGGUUUUAUUUUUAAGGUGGAUAGUUGUUUUAAACAUCAGGGUACCUAUGCCCCUUCAAAUCUGUGUUCUUGCAUCCUGUGGGUAAAUACCCAGUAGUGCAAUUGCUGGAUAAUAGGGAAGUUCUAUUUUUACCUUUUUGAGGAACCUCCAUACUGUCUUCUCCAGUGGCUGCACCACUUUGUAUUCCCACCAACAGCGCAAGAGGGGUCCCCUUUCUCUUCAUCCUCGCCAACAUCUGUUGUUUCUUCUGUUGUUUAUUUUAGCCAUCCUGACUGGUGUGAGGUGAUAUCUCAUUGUACUUUUGAUUUGUAUUUCCUUGAUGAUGAGUGAUGCUAAGCAUCACUUCAUGUGUCUGUUGACCACCUGUAUGUCUUCUUUGGAGAAAUGUCUGUUCAUGUCUUCUGCACAUUUUUUAACUGGAUUAUUUGGUUUUGUGGGUAUUCGGUUUUAUAAAUUCUUUAUAUAUUUUGGGUACUAAUCCUUUAUCAGGUAUAUCACUUGCAAAUAUCCACUAUUACUCCAUAGGUUGCUUUUUAGUUUUGUUGACAAACAGCCAAUUUAUGGCAAGAGUCCAAAUGUCCAUCAACUGAUGAAUGGAUAAAGCAAAUGUGGUACACACACACACACACACACACACAAUGGAAUAUUACUCAGCCAUUAAAAAAGAAUGAAAUCUUGUCAUUUGCAAUGACAUGGUUGGAGCUAGAGAGUAUUAUGCCAGACAAAAUCAGCCAAUCAGAGAAAGAUAAAUACAAAUUCACUCAUAUGUGGAAUUUAAAAAACAAAAUGGGGGGAGAGGGGGAGUGUGUGAAACAGAGAGGAAAGCCAGGAAACUGCCUCUUAACUAAAGAGAACAAACUGAGGGUGACUGGAGGGGGAGUGGGCAGGGUGAUGGGCUACAUGGGUGAUGGAUAUUAAGGAGGGCACUCGUGAUGAGCACUGAGUGUUGUAUGUAAGUGAUGAAUCACUAAAUUCUACACCUGAAACUAAUACUACACUAUAUGUUAACUAACUGGAAUUUAAAUC